rnacentral:rRNA from 1 species
GAACGCUGGCGGCAUGCCUUACACAUGCAAGUCGAACGGCAGCACGGGAGCAAUCCUGGUGGCGAGUGGCGAACGGGUGAGUAAUAUAUCGGAACGUGCCCAGUCGUGGGGGAUAACGUAGCGAAAGCUACGCUAAUACCGCAUACGAUCUAUGGAUGAAAGCGGGGGAUCGCAAGACCUCGCGCGAUUGGAGCGGCCGAUAUCAGAUUAGGUAGUUGGUGAGGUAAAGGCUCACCAAGCCGACGAUCUGUAGCUGGUCUGAGAGGACGACCAGCCACACUGGGACUGAGACACGGCCCAGACUCCUACGGGAGGCAGCAGUGGGGAAUUUUGGACAAUGGGCGCAGGCCUGAUCCAGCAAUGCCGCGUGCAGGAUGAAGGCCUUCGGGUUGUAAACUGCUUUUGUACGGAACGAAACGGUGAGCUCUAAUACAGUUUGCUAAUGACGGUACCGUAAGAAUAAGCACCGGCUAACUACGUG